rnacentral:rRNA from 1 species
AAACCGAAAGGUNGAAGGGGAGAAUUNAUUUGGGUUUCGCCGCAGGCGUGAGGUGUUCGUGUGACGGGGAAAGUUUCGUGCGGUUCCUGCUCCUUCUGCCUGACGAUCCUGUGGCGAACGCGUGCACUUUUCUUCCGGUAGGACGUCGCAAUCCGUUGGGUGUCGGUCUACGGCGGACGGUGGAGCCCGUUUGUGUUUUUCGACACGAGUGGACCCGUCCGUUCCCGGCCGGCUCGCUCGACGGUACACGAAUGGUUAGAGGCCGCUCUUUACGAGCGUCCGACUCGCGGCAAGCGCGCCAAAACGUUGGAAAUCGGACUCCGUGCCGAUUCUGACUUCUGGUGACUGUUGGCUGCGAAGUUCUCGGACAGACCUUUGGACCGAUUCGCGACGCUAUAGCUUUGGGUACUUUCAGGACCCGUCUUGAAACACGGACCAAGGAGUCUAGCAUGUGCGCGAGUCAUUGGGAAUAAUUAAACCUAAAGGCGUAAUGAAAGUGAAGGUCUUCCUUGCGGAGACCGAGGGAAGACGGGUGGACUUCACCGUUAAAAGUGGCCACCCUGCACUCCCGGGGCGUCUCGUUCUCAUCGCGAGAAGAGGCGCACCAAGAGCGUACACGCUGGGACCCGAAAGAUGGUGAACUAUGCCUGGUCAGG